UUUCCGUAGGUGAACCUGCGGAAGGAUCAUUAAAAAUGAAGCCGGGAAACCGGUCCUUCUAACCCUUGAUUAUCUUAAUUUGUUGCUUUGGUGGGCCGCGCAAGCACCGGCUUCGGCUGGAUCGUGCCCGCCAGAGGACACGACUCUGUAUCAAAUGUCGUCUGAGUACUAUAAAAUAGUUAAAACUUUCAACAACGGAUCUCUUGGUUCUG
rnacentral:misc_RNA from 1 species